rnacentral:rRNA from 1 species
AACGAACGCUGGCGGCAGGCCUAACACAUGCAAGUCGAACGAGAAGCCACCUCCGGGUGGUGGAAAGUGGCAGACGGGUGAGUAACGCGUGGGAACGUGCCUUUCGGUUCGGGACAACCCAGGGAAACUUACGCUAAUACCGCAUACGACCUACGGGUGAAAGCGGCGGACCGCAAGGCGUCGCGCGAUUGGAUGAGCCCAUGUCGGAUUAGCUAGUUGGCGGGGUAAAGGCCCACCAAGGCGACGAUCCGUAGCUGGUCUGAGAGGAUGAUCAGCCACACUGGAACUGAGACACGGUCCAGACUCCUACGGGAGGCAGCAGUGGGGAAUAUUGGACAAUGGGCGCAAGCCUGAUCCAGCCAUGCCGCGUGAGUGAAGAAGGCCCUCGGGUUGUAAAGCUCUUUUGUCCGGAAAGAAAAGCUUUCGGUUAAUACCCGGAAGUCCUGACGGUACCGGAAGAAUAAGCACCGGCUAACUUCGUGCCAGCAGCCGCCGUAAUAC